UGUCCGACGGCGAGGGAGUUUGUGUGUGUCUAUGCGUGUGUUCGCGCGCGUGCGCGCGGAGGUGCCGUGGUUGGUUUAGCGGUCGCCCCUGCCGCUCCCCUUCCCCCUUCCACAACCCGGGCAGAGCCGUCAGGUGAGAGGAUUUUGAGUCCCUUGUUGUCGUCGUUAAAAGCUAGAAGAUGGGGAAAAAAAGCCGAGUGAAAACACAGAAGUCAGGUACUGGAGCUACAACAGCUGUCUCUCCAAAGGAGAUACUGAAUUUGAUUAGUGAAUUGUUACAGAAAUGUAGCAGUCCAACUCCAGGUCCUGGAAAAGAGUGGGAAGAAUAUCAGCAGAUCCGAGCUCUUGUUGAGAGAAUCCGUAAAAAGCAG